rnacentral:rRNA from 1 species
UUAAGUCUGAUGUGAAAGCCCCCGGCUCAACCGGGGAGGGUCAUUGGAAACUGGGGAACUUGAGUGCAGAAGAGGAGAGUGGAAUUCCACGUGUAGCGGUGAAAUGCGUAGAGAUGUGGAGGAACACCAGUGGCGAAGGCGACUCUCUGGUCUGUAACUGACGCUGAGGAGCGAAAGCGUGGGGAGCGAACAGGAUUAGAUACCCUGGUAGUCCACGCCGUAAACGAUGAGUGCUAAGUGUUAGGGGGUUUCCGCCCCUUAGUGCUGCAGCUAACGCAUUAAGCACUCCGCCUGGGGAGUACGGUCGCAAGACUGAAACUCAAAGGAAUUGACGGGGGCCCGCACAAGCGGUGGAGCAUGUGGUUUAAUUCGAAGCAACGCGAAGAACCUUACCAGGUCUUGACAUCCUCUGACAAUCCUAGAGAUAGGACGUCCCCUUCGGGGGCAGAGUGACAGGUGGUGCAUGGUUGUCGUCAGCUCGUGUCGUGAGAUGUUGGGUUAAGUCCCGCAACGAGCGCAACCCUUGAUCUUAGUUGCCAGCAUUCAGUUGGGCACUCUAAGGUGACUGCCGGUGACAAACCGGAGGAAGGUGGGGAUGACGUCAAAUCAUCAUGCCCCUUAUGACCUGGGCUACACACGUGCUACAAUGGACAGAACAAAGGGCAGCGAAACCGCGAGGUUAAGCCAAUCCCACAAAUCUGUUCUCAGUUCGGAUCGCAGUCUGCAACUCGACUGCGUGAAGCUGGAAUCGCUAGUAAUCGCGGAUCAGCAUGCCGC